UCCCUGGUGGUCCAGUGGCUAAGACUCUGUGUUCCCAAAGCAGGGGACCCAGGUUUGAUCCCUGGUCAGGGAA
rnacentral:tRNA from 1 species